rnacentral:rRNA from 1 species
CAGCCGCCGCGGGAAUACCGAGGGUGCAAGCGUUAAUCGGAAUUACUGGGCGUAAAGCGCGCGUAGGUGGUUUGUUAAGUUGGAUGUGAAAUCCCCGGGCUCAACCUGGGAACUGCAUUCAAAACUGACUGACUAGAGUAUGGUAGAGGGUGGUGGAAUUUCCUGUGUAGCGGUGAAAUGCGUAGAUAUAGGAAGGAACACCAGUGGCGAAGGCGACCACCUGGACUAAUACUGACACUGAGGUGCGAAAGCGUGGGGAGCAAACAGGAUUAGAUACCCCUGUAGUCCCUGUCUCUUAUAC